GACGAACGCUGGCGGCGUGCUUAACACAUGCAAGUCGAGCGGUAAGGCCUUUCGGGGUCCACGAGCGGCUAACGGGUGAGUAACACGUGGGUGAUCUGCCCUGCACUUCGGGAUAAGCCUGGGACACUGGGUCUAAUACCGGAUAUGACCUCCUAUCGCUUGGUGGGUGGGUGAAAGAUUUAUCGGUGCAGGAUGGGCCCGCGGUUUAUCGGCUUGUUGGUGUGGUAAUGGCUUACCAAGGAGAGGACGGGUAGCCGACCUGAGAGGGUGACCGGCCACACUGGGACUGAGACACGGCCCAGACUCCUACGGGAGGCAGCAGUGGGGAAUAUUGCACAAUGGGCGAAAGCCUGAUGCAGCGACGCCGCGUGAGGGAUGACGGCCUUCGGGUUGUAAACCUCUUUCAGCAGGGACGAAGCGCAAGUGACGGUACCUGCAGAAGAAGCACCGGCUAACUACGUG
rnacentral:rRNA from 1 species